GACGAACGCUGGCGGCGUGCUUAACACAUGCAAGUCGAACGGAAAGGCCUGCAGCUUGCUGCGGGUACUCGAGUGGCGAACGGGUGAGUAACACGUGGGUGAUCUGCCUUGCACUUCGGGAUAAGCUUGGGAAACUGGGUCUAAUACCGGAUAGGACAGCUGUUUAGUGUCAGUUGUGGAAAGUUUUUUCGGUGCAAGAUGAGCUCGCGGCCUAUCAGCUUGUUGGUGGGGUAAUGGCCUACCAAGGCGUCGACGGGUAGCCGGCCUGAGAGGGUGUACGGCCACAUUGGGACUGAGAUACGGCCCAGACUCCUACGGGAGGCAGCAGUGGGGAAUAUUGCACAAUGGGCGGAAGCCUGAUGCAGCGACGCCGCGUGGGGGAUGAAGGCCUUCGGGUUGUAAACUCCUUUCGACAGGGACGAAGCGUAAGUGACGGUACCUGUAUAAGAAGCACCGGCUAACUACGUGCCAGCAGCCGCGGUAAUACGUAGGGUGCGAGCGUUGUCCGGAAUUACUGGGCGUAAAGAGCUCGUAGGUGGUUUGUCGCGUCGUCUGUGAAAUUCCGGGGCUUAACUCCGGGCGUGCAGGCGAUACGGGCUGACUUGAGUGCUGUAGGGGAGACUGGAAUUCCUGGUGUAGCGGUGAAAUGCGCAGAUAUCAGGAGGAACACCGAUGGCGAAGGCAGGUCUCUGGGCAGUAACUGACGCUGAGGAGCGAAAGCAUGGGUAGCGAACAGGAUUAGAUACCCUGGUAGUCCAUGCCGUAAACGGUGGGCGCUAGGUGUAGGGGGCUUCCACGUCUUCUGUGCCGUAGCUAACGCAUUAAGCGCCCCGCCUGGGGAGUACGGCCCGCAGGCUA
rnacentral:rRNA from 1 species